CGAGCUCCGCACAGGCGGCGAGAAAUUGCCUUCGCCUGGGCACCGCGGCCGCUUCCAGCCCCGGAGCUCAGCAGCGGCCGCGGGGAGGCUCGGGGAGCCCGCAGCCGGGUUACCUUGCCCGCGGACCGCUACAAAAAAAAAAAUAAAAAAAAUAAAAAUAAAAAUCGGAUUUCCUGAAAUCACGGGGAACCGGGGCCCUCUGAAUCCUCCGUGGCUUUCAGGAACUUAAUCGUGAUGGGCUCGGAGUUUCUGGAUGGGUGAAGAAAAGCCAGUGGAGCCAGGGGUGCUAUCUGACUUUCCUGAAGCUGUGGACAGAGUGAUACCAGUUUGACAGAGGAUCCUCCUAAAGACUGGCCCUGCUCUUGUCCCUCUCAUGCUGCAGCUCGGGAAGCGCAUCCAGUCCUGCUGUGAGGUGGGACCCCAGCCACCCCUCAUUCUGCCAGCCCCAGGCCAAAGCCAGGGUAGCUCUUCGGGUGUCAAGCCCCAUGUACCAAGGGAUUUCGCUGCUCCAUUUGAAACCCAGGGACCUGCAAACACCACGACCCAAGGCAUGCUUUCAGCAUCCUCAGGAGAGCUCCCCACCUCCGCCAAGCUCAAAGUCCUCUUGCACGGGCGUCACUGGUUGCUCCUAGGGCUGGUGGGAAGGUGACAGAGACACUUCUCCAUCUCACCUCACCUAGAUUCUCUCCGUCACCUGCUGUAUUUUUAAAAACACUGGAGAGACCUUGGACUCCUCUGUGAAAGUCUCCAAGGCCCAGGUCAGAUAUCGCUUAGCUAAAUACACCCUGGUCACAGGCGGCUCUAACAGAGCAGCCUGCAGAUAAGGAGAUUGAUCCUCAGAGUAAUCAAUAAAGAUCUUGUUCUGGGCAGUUAAUAA